GACAGAGGUGGCAAGCGUUGCUCGGAGUUACUGGGCUUAAAGGGCGCGUAGGCGGUCGUGCACGUCGGUGGUGAAAUCCCCGGGCUCAACCCGGGAACUGCCGCCGAUACGGCGCGACUCGAGUGUGGGAGGGGAGAGUGGAACUCCUGGUGGAGCGGUGAAAUGCGUAGAUAUCAGGAGGAACGCCGGUGGCGAAAGCGACUCUCUGGACCACAACUGACGCUGAGGCGCGAAAGCCAGGGGAGCAAACGGGAUUAGAAACCCGAGUAGU
rnacentral:rRNA from 1 species